UACGGGGGGAGCAAGCGUUGUUCGGAUUUACUGGGCGUAAAGGGCGCGUAGGCGGCCACCGCAAGUCGGUUGUGAAAUCUCCGGGCUUAACCCGGAAAGGUCAAUCGAUACUGCGGGGCUAGAGUGCAGAAGGGGCAACUGGAAUUCUCGGUGUAGCGGUAAAAUGCGUAGAUAUCGAGAGGAACACCUGCGGCGAAGGCGGGUUGCUGGGCUGACACUGACGCUGAAGCGCGAAAGCUAGGGGAGCGAACGGG
rnacentral:rRNA from 1 species